CGUAUGGCGUUACGCAUCUUGUUAUUCUAUUGUCUUUGGUCAUACUCUUUUUAUUUUACCAUACUGAUAAGUCGGAUAUGGGAUGUAAGGAGACGAUCGAGGUACCAAUUAAUUGUGGUUCGGUUGCUGCUACUGGUUUCAAGAUGCAUAAUGAUACAUAAUGGCCCUUGCUCCUUUUCCAUGUUCCAGUUCCUUUAACGAUGAUAGAACCUCAUUGGUAGUAAUGUAGAAUUCUUUUAGUUAUUUAGUACGGUAGUAGUAGUAGUAGUCACGUUUUAUGUAUUGUUGGAAAAAGCGAGUUAGAGUCGAGUUUGCCACAUGUCGGGUAUUGUUGUCGUUGUCAACUAGUAUGCUCCAUGCGCUGACGUUAUUCUCUUCUUUAAGAUCGAUAUAUACUAUCAAUCCAUUUUGGAUCAUUAAGUACUCUAUUGGUAACUGAGUCAGAAGAUUUACAAGAACAACAAAAACAAGAAUUUAUGUGGCUAUUCUUUAGUGAACAAUUUUUCAAUAAUUUUGGAUUAGAACUGAACCUAGCAAUGCAGCGAUAGCGAUGCCUGACCUGUUUCCCAUUUUAAAAAGCGGAACAGCAAAUAACUUAUUACAUUAAGGGGGAAAAUUACAUUGACGAAAAAGACAGUUUGCAAAAUAUUUAAGAAUACACAUAGGGACCAUAUCAAGUCCUGUUGAAAAUGAGAAUUGGGACUUUUUAAGCUUUCGAAGACAUCAGCUUUAUGAAUAAGUACAUUUAAAUUCAAAUUGGUGUGGGGUGAAGGCUGGGUAAAUUUAAUAUCACUGUUAUUGAAAAAGAAAACAACAAACAAGUUGAAUAUGGAAUUUUCAUCUGACGCAGAAACGAGUUAAAAAACAACGAGAGAGAAAGCAAAUAAGAAUUUGCUCAUGCCAUUAUUUGGUCCCUCAAGUCAUAUAUUUACAUUUUUUAUUCACCCAUCAAUAUGAGUAUUAUCAUCAAGUCACACAGCUCCCGGUUGUCAAAAUUCGCCUCCAACUUCAUGUAGAAUAUUAGAUAUGAUUUGAAGAUGGACGCGGCAAGGUAGUUGCCCGCGAACUCCUCCGCCUGCACCGUUGUUGCAGGGGGAUGUCAAGGUGACACGUUGCUGCUCACGUAGUUGCUGAAGUGUGUUGCGGCGAGUUGCUGCCCACAACACAGUCACCUCGUUGUCGCCUCUGUAGCUGCGGUGUGGUGCAGAGUGCGGAUCGGGAUCCGGUGGUGUCCACGAUCGGUGAAUAUAGCUGAAGUGACCAACUGGAAUAAGCCGGUAGCAGGGUCGUAGCUCCGACUUGAUAUUCACGGCAGGUAUUUUACGAUACGAACCUCGUAAUUUAUGCAAGAUAUGUUGACAAUUGUUUUUCCUAGAACUUAUUAAUUAUUUCAGAACAUUUUUCAUUUUGACGCUAAACUCAUAUUUCCCGUGUUCUCCUCAAUCAGGACCAUUUUAUUUUCGUGCGGCUCGAUUCGCGAGAAGUAGUCCCGAUAUAUAUAAGAGCACAGAAACGAGGAAACCCGUUACUCAGCUAAUGUGAAUGCGAACUUUCAUCAUUUUUCUGGGAUAUUGAUAUUGGUGAGAGAAUGAGAUAAAUGAGAAAAUAAUUUCAAAAUCGUUCAAAAGUGUGCUUUACGGCGUUAGAGUGGGCGUGGCAAAAAGUUUUUUGGCAAAUCGAUAGAAAUUUACAAGACUAAUAAAAAUGGGAAAAAAUAUCAACACAUUUUUUAAAAGUGUGGGCGUGUCCAGAAUUUGUCUUUAUCUCCUACCUCCUGUCUCAGCCUCCUAGCUUUUAUAGUUCCUGAGAUCUCGACGUUCAGACGGACGGACAGACAGACCGACAUGGCCAGAUCCACUCGGAUCAGGAUCUAUAGAUCAAGAAAAUAUAUAUUUACUUUAUAUGGUCAGAAACGCUUCCUUCGACCUGUUACAUACUUUUUAACAAAUCUGGUAUUCCCUUUUAUUGUUUAAAUUUAAUUCAAAUCAUCGGAUCAUCGAAUUGCAAAAAAAGUCUGCGCUCUGCGCAAUAUUAAAACCUGAUAUACGUGAAUUUUCAAAUCUCAUAUGUUAAGCCUGUCUGUAUUGCUGCUACAGUAUCAGCUAUUAAUAUAAGAUAAGUAUUAAAAAGAAACGCAUUUUUAAAUUAGAAUUAUUCUAGUUUCUUUGGUUGAAAGUUGGUGAAAUCGACUUUUUGCUGUGGUUCUGGAUUUUAACCGGCCGGUUAAUGAUGUCAUCAAUUGAGAGUAGACCAUUUGAGUUGGGAUUUUCUUUGCAUCAGAUUGCCUUAUUCUGAAGGAGUUACCUAAUAUAGUACGAAACGAAAAACCGUGGAUAACAUUGCAGGUGUUGUAACCACAGAUAUGACAAAUGUUUGCCUGUCAUCAACAUCAAAUCAUAUUUUCAUCGUAAAUGGUUUAAUAUCGUUUUCAAUGAUUGUAAUGAUUGUAAGUCCGAAUGGCAAGAAAUGUCCGAAUACUGCAGGCAUAUUUUAAGACCAUCUACGUACACAAGAAGGUGUUAUAACUAAUAGAAGUCAUCAAUAAUUAACCGUAGGUCGCAUGUGGACAUUGUUGUAAUCUUGAAAUAAAUCUUAUACCCAGCGUGCCACUAUUGGCAGCUAGGGCGGAUGCAUGCUUAUGUAUCCAAUAGGAAUUUUACAUGUGCUUAGCUUACGCAGGAAAACACGUUCUUAUCAAUGCCAACGUUUCCUCUUAGUCCAUCCGCUGUCCUCAUAAACAGGUAUUACGUGAACGGCCUUUCGUGAACUUGCUCUCUCUGCUGAACUGGAAUUAUUUCCAUUGCCUGCAGCGGGGGAGAAAGUUAAUAUCGCACAAUGGGUAACGAUAGUUUGGCAUCGCUAUGGUGCUGUCAUAGCAAAUGGGGACUAUUGGCUAGCUGAAAAUAAUUCAUCAUUUAUGGAUCUCGAUUGAUUACAUAUUGAGAUAUGAACGGCGUCUUCGAUUGAAAUUGUUUUGUAGAGCGAUUAAAGAUUUUAUUAUCCUCUCUUCCAAAGACCGAGUGAUUUUACCAGCCAGCUUCCUUGCCUGGGUGCUAGGACACCGUUCCUCUUAGUUACAACAGUAACAUUCGACCCGCUCGUGGUCCAUUGUCAAGGACACACAGGCCAAAAAAGGCAAGGCACACAGGAGCAGGAGCAACGCCGCGCAGCAGACGGCGAUCACCGGAGGAGUCAGCUGUGAAAUACUACAAUAAAGCGACUUUAUUCUAAAA